GGCAGAGCCAACCCAGAGGAGCUCAGGUGCAUGCAAUACAGCUGAAUGGCCAGGAGGGGUGGAGCCAGGAUCCACCCCUUCUCAGACCUCAUUUAUGGGUUGGCAGUGGGGGUGAGGGUGUCUUGCUGGAGAUUUCUGUGCCUUCCAAAGAGUGAUUCUCAGGAUGGGCAGCUUUCUGAGAGAGAGAGAGAGAGAGAUGGCUACUAAGAAGGCUUUUGCUUUGGCCAGACUUUGGCAGCUCUGGAUGCUGCAGAAAAGGAUGCUGAGCAGCAGGAGUGGGAGGCAGCUGUGUGCUGCUGGGCACAGACAUGGGAGGCUGAUCUGAUCUGAGCAUCAGUCACUGCAGAAAUAAGCAGGAAUCCUCAGGCCAGAGAUAAGACACUGUGUUCAUCAUAGCAUGUUCCCAAGGCUGGAGGUGAAACUAUGUGCUGGUGGGCAGCAAGAGGAAGACACUGCCUAGGUGAGAGGGACCAGUUCUCCACCUUUGCUAUCUAUUGCUAUUCUCUUGGUGUCUACCCAGAGUUAUCCACAGGAAAGGUGUGGCAUGGUUGGUAAGACAUCUCCAUUCUCCAAGGGCCUUUGGUACGUCACCAACUGCAUAUAACUGAAUCCUCCCAUGAGUUAAACACUGAACAGUUAAAUGAAGUCAUAUCCGAGUUCAAAUUCAAGGUGGUCGAAAGGACUGAGUUAUUCCAGGCUGUCUGGGAGAUUACUUUCAAAUCGCCUCCAGUGAUUUAGGAAAACGAAAAGUGCUCCUUUGGGAAAUGCCUCAGGAAUAUGGCUGUCCACUGGGAGGAAGCACAGACACGCUUACUGUGUUCUCAGGGAUGCUGGCAGAGCCCUGGGCAGCAUGGGAAGAGACACUGUAAUCAAUGGAUUAGGGCUAUCAACAUGGGUGCUGCUCUUCAGCUGGGUGCUCGCUGUGGCUCUGGAGGUGGGCACAGCUGCUAUGUUGGGCUGUGGUGCAGAGCUGGUGUGCUGGCACCAGUCUGCUUAGCUGGAGGGGCCAUCCAGGUCCCAGCAGGGAUGCUGGGGUGCCCUGUGGUGGCUGCUGUCCCCAGGCAGUGUCCUGCAGCACCCUGGCUAGCUGGAGACAGGGUGACGGGAUGGGUGCCUCUGGUUUGGCAGGUGACCACAAGGAAGCAUUGUACUACUGAGCUCAUUUCCACUGGGACCAAAGGGUUCAUUAGGAGUAAAAAUAACCCUGGAAAAACAGCCAAAACCCUCUCAGGGAGUGCCUCAGUUGUUGGGGCCAACUUUGGCCAGCCAAGGAUCUGCCCUUUUUGCCCUCCCUGUGCAGCUCUUGCUGCUUCUGCAGCCACCAGUGUAACGAUACUACCAGGACCAGAGGGACCACCCUUGGCACAUCGGAUGGUUCGUAUUGCCCUGCUUAAGCCUGCUUCUUAAAGAACAGCCUUUGCCAUUUCUAAAUCACAGAUGUUGUGUCAAUCUUCUGCAAAAGAUGGCAUUUUACAUAGAAGGACAGGACAGGGGCUUCUGAACCAAAUGCUCUGCCUUGGUGCUGUUCCUCCUGAGCUCCCUCGGACGUUUCUUGCAGUCUUGCUGUUUGAAUAAGGAACUCUUCCAGCUCAUUUGCAAAUAUGCCUUGUGCAGCAAAUAGAGCUGUAGGAUCAGCUGAUUUUUCAGUUUCAUUGGUGAACAAACAAAAAUCAGAGGAAAACAAAUUAGCUCAGACCAAAGAGAGCAUUUUUCCCAAAGUUGCUUUGCAGAACAGCAACAGCAAAGAAGAUGAGCCAGACCCAAAACAAGGAGACUUAUUGAGCUCAUUGGGAGAGCAUUCAUUCUUCUUUUUCACUGUUUUUCUCAAAAAAAGAAAAUAAUGUCAGGUUUCAGAAUAACAAAGUGGUGGUUCUGAAAGAUGAGGCAGAAAGGCUUCUUGCAAAUAUGUCAGAGCAAAGUAACUGCAGCACCUUUAGGAGUGAACGGGAGGAACAUCUGGAGGGGGAAACGUAUCCCUAAGCUCAGUUCACACUGUGUGGAUGAUUUCCUUCUCCUGUGAGCUGCAUUCUUCCCAAAAUCUGUCACCCACUGAGGGCAAACGCCCGGCUUCCCUGUUAAUCUCCUUUGCAGCACUGCCUUAGAGUGAGGGAUAAACCUGUACAAAGGAGAAAGACGUGGGGAUCCAGGGACAAAAAGUGCAGGACAAAGGACAGAAGAACGCCCGGCAGCAAAUGAAUUUCCUUCUAAGCCAGAUACUGCUGAAUUUUAAGCCAUUGUGAAUGUACGUGGCUCAGGGUUCAGCAGUCAGUGAUAAAUGUGAGGGUUAUUUCUCACUCCGCUUCUGAGUUUCUGAUAAGAAACAUUUGCAUGCUUCCCCUGGAGGAAUUAAACUGUAAGCAACC
ensembl:lncRNA